AGAGACGCGGAGAAACACGUUGGAAGACAUUUUAAAACCAUUGUUGGUGAACGUUGCCUCGGUUUGUCAGUACUGAGAAAGUUAUUAAUUACCGAUGAAGCCUGGAUGCUAAAACAAAUUUCGAAGCUGCAUUUUUAUCGAACACGAAUGAGGCUGGACGAUGAAUAUAUCUGCGGCGCGAAGGUUUACUGGUUCAGCUGCUGCAGCCUGGACACAAACACCAGCUCCCACCUUACAAACCAAACAGGUCUUCUCCUCCUGCACAGACAACAACACGCAUUGAUCACACAAACUCAUCUGUAAGUCCAAAUAGUUUUUUACAUAUUAGACUCCUGACUAGACUGACAGUGUGUGACACUUGACUGUUACAUUGAGU